GACGAACCGUGCGAACGUUGUUCGGAAUCACUGGGCUUAAAGGGCGCGUAGGCGGGCUGUCAAGUCUGGGGUGAAAUGCCGCGGCUCAACCGUGGAACUGCCUUAGAUACUGACGGCCUCGAGGAAGGUAGGGGCAUGCGGAACUGUAGGUGGAGCGGUGAAAUGCGUUGAUAUCUACAGGAACUCCGGUGGCGAAAGCGGCGUGCUGGACCUUUUCUGACGCUGAGGCGCGAAAGCUAGGGGAGCA
rnacentral:rRNA from 1 species